rnacentral:rRNA from 1 species
CAGAGGGGGCAAGCGUUGUUCGGAAUUACUGGGCGUAAAGGGCGCGUAGGCGGCCUGCUAAGUCGAACGUGAAAUCCCUGGGCUCAACCCAGGAACUGCGUCCGAUACUGGUUGGCUUGAAUCCGGGAGAGGGAUGUGGAAUCCCAUGUGUAGCGGUGAAAUGCGUAGAUAUCUGGAGGAACACCGGUGGCGAAGGCGACAUCCUGGACCGGUAUUGACGCUGAGGCGCGAAAGCCAGGGGAGCAAACGGGAUUAGAUACCCCGGUAGUCCUGGCCCUAAACGAUGAAUACUUGGUGUGGCGGGUAUCGAUCCCUGCCGUGCCGAAGCUAAUGCAUUAAGCAUUCCGCCUGGGGAGUACGGUCGCAAGGCUG